CAGAUUUUCGCUGCGUCACAUUGCCACGAGUUAUCGUCUUGUUGUGCACUUGCUGUUCAGGUGAACUCGUUCUUUUUUCGUUGUUAUAUAGACUUUCGACAUCCUUUUUUUUUUUCGAGGGAUAUGGAAAGUGGCUUUUGAGUCACGUAGAUUGGGUUAGGAUUAGCAUGUAGCGACUGUUUUAUUUUAGCAGGGAAUCAACGGUAGCGCUUGUAUCGUCGUUUUUAUUUUGUUUGGGUGUCAGGCAGUUUAACACCUUUAUAUCCGACCUAACGUUCACUGAAAAUUUUUAAUUUGUUGUAUUCAUAACGAAGUUGGCUCUUUGGUGAUCAGCUGUGACUUCUUUUUACGAGAUUGUAAUGUUGCCAAUAUAGUGUUAUUACUGCCAGGAAUCCGCGUUAUGGCCAAAACGUAGUUUAUUCGAUAAGAAAACUGCUAUUUUUAUGUGAAACUGCUUAAACUGAAGACAAUGCUUUUUUUUUUUUUUGGAGCCUUUGUUAGUUUAAGAUGGCCGCCGUGACGUAAGCCACCUGGCGCUGUGCUAUUGGUCGGUUUGAACUACGUUGUGAAGCUCUUUCCCCAAUGGUUGACUGACAGGGUGGGUGCAAGCCCCACCCCACUUUUCCAAGUCGCAAUACUAAAAUAGGGGCUAAAUAUAACGACUGGAUCAGUUGAAGAGUAACAGUUGUUUUUUUUUUUUUUUUUUUUUUCGGUAGAAGUUUUAGCUACAUUAUUGUUGGUUUACAAACUAGUCUGUGCUUGAAGUUGAUCGGUUAGCCACCAGUCAAACUAGUUGUGCUACGCAGCUGCCAUUUUGAAACCAUACAACAGCAGUUGAGUCAUUCAACAAGAUUUUUAUUAAAGUGCAGACUUUUCCCGCAUUUAUUUAAUUGAUUUUAGAUAUUCCAUUUUUUAACUGAAAGGGAGUUUGUCCAACAGUGUCUCUGCAUGUUUAUACCUUUUUAGGCAAUUUUAGUUUUGCAUCAAGUGCAGAUGUUGCCUUUUUUUUUUUUUUAAGAUGCAAUAAUUAGUCAGUUCAUUGCAGUUUCAUAGGUUUUUUUUUUUUUUUUCUCCCUUAAAUUGCCCUCAGGGCAGUGGACUGAGUUAUUGGGAGGAAUGGACUUAGUAGUUGAGAGGAAGAAUGGACUUAGUCUUAGAAGACGACGGAUUCAGCGACAUGAGGCCGACGCAGGGAUGGUGACACAGGAGUGCGGUUGGACCAGAGGGCGAACCAGGCAGGACAGGACCAGAUCGUGUGGCAGGCCGGAGGGUGAACCAGGCAGGACAGGAUCAGAGGGCUCCGAAAGCGCAGCGGUGGUCACCAGAUGGCGCCAGACGCAGGGUAGCACCAGCAAAGGUCCAUUGUUGAAGCGGUACAGCAGUUCCAGAGCAAGCCAGCCAAGCGGGUGGGACAGGGCGCAAGAGUCGACAUGCAGAGUUAAAUGGCAAAGGUGUUGGUUUGUAUAACGGUAGAGGUAUUUGUAACGGGCCCUUUUAAUCAAAUUUGACACUGAAAAUCCUUUAGUAGGACCCAAUAUCUCGCACAGAUCUCUCUUCCCUUUUUCAGGCCAUCUCUGUAAAGCCUUUCAUACCUUGAUCGCCAAUCCUGUUUCGUGCUGACUUGCGUGGUGGUGUCCACUGGGACGAAUGCCUUGGUAGCGCGCUGGCGAGAGCAGCACCUAAUCGGAAUUUUCUACCUAUCCCCCCUCUGCGAUCACAACUAGUUGCCCAGUCUGCUGGAGAGGCGUUCCUUUGUUCGCUAGGCCUACUUGAGAAGUUUGUCCUAAAUUUUUUCAUACAUGUGAAUGGUGGGUGGGUUGGUGGGGGCGGGGCCGGGGGUGUUAACCAGUCUCUUCCUAGACUUCACAGCUCAAGUUUCCCUUCACAAUGGCUUGUAUAAGAAUCAGCCCAGUGUGCCCAACGUCAUUCAAGUGGACACAUUUCCUCACAGGAUAGCAGCUCCUAAAGUAGUCACCUGGUGUAGCCAGAGCACAUUUGGAAUGUGGUAAACGUUUCUUUACUAGAAGUCAUUGCAAUUGUGUACAGGCAUUCUUGUGUGGGUUGGGGCUGGGGCUGUCUUUGCUACUUUUGCAGAUUGUUAUACGAGUCCUUCAGUAAGCCACAUGCAAGUCCACAUCGUCACGGCAAUGCAAAGAUGGAAAUCCAUCGUGUUCACAGUUGUGGUAUUUAAUAACUAUUGAAAGCUUUUUAAUUGUUGCAGUUGUCCAUAGACAAAAGUAGCAUGUUGUAACACAUGGUUUGCAAUGCAUUGUAUUAUGGGUGGGGUCCUGGGGGGGGGGGGGGCUUUUUCCUUUGCAUUUUUCAGUGUGCCGUGUCCCGUGCGCUUUCAAAUUCCCGAGACCGCCUGGAAGUCUCCUAACUCAUUGUAUGUACACGUUCCUUGCGCUUCGAGCAUCACGUAAGCUCAUUAAAUGUAUUCAUUUUUAACGUUCAUUGUCUGGUUGAAAUCCUCCAUUGCAAUUCCUUUGCAAUUAGUUAGUCCUUUGUAUUGAUAAUACAAGAGAACUAUUUGUAAAGGAUUUAUCUGCAUAAUAAAAUGCAUAGCUUGUUGUGAUUGAAUACAGUAUUGGUAUGUAUUUGUUCUUUGGGGGGGGUACUUUUUGGCACUAUUCUUGUGCUUUUCAGGUAUUUAAGCUUGGACCUUUUGUAGCGCACGGAUGUGACCAGGGCUUGAAUGCUCCCUUUCAAAGUGGAAAUUGAUGGCAGAUAAGUGGAAUCCAUCAAAUAUUGAUGCUGGAAUGCAGCUAAAUACCUAAACUACUUGAUGGGUUCUGUAUUUUGAACGGGCUCAGCUGCCCUCAUCUCAAAAGCAACUUGCUAUCCAUAACUUUCUACAUAGCAUUGCUUUGUCUUUUUUGCGCUGAGAUACAGACUCAUUUGAUGGGCGUUGUCAUAUCUGCAGUAAAGCAUUCGGGUAAGGAUAACAAUAGUCAGUUCUAUGAUUUGUGUGUGUAUAUAUAUAUUUUUUUUUUUUUGCUAUUUCUUUGUGGGGGCUGGGGGGGAGAUAAUUGUUGUAGGGAUUUUCUCUCAUCCUACAGAGCAGUCUACAAAGGAAGAUUGCAUUCGCUCCGUGACAUGAGAAUCUCGCUGCCCUAUGAAAUCACCACUCACAUUUGUCAGGUUUUGAUUACCUAAUGUUUAGGUCCUCAGCUACAAGCCCAAGCGCAACUGUGCUGGUGGCAGAUGUUUCUUAAAAUACAGACAACCACGCAACUGUGUGAAGAUUAGUGGCUGAGGAAGGCUGUGCAUUGUGCAGCUUCAGUUAGGAUUUUGAAUUGCAAUGCAAAUGUGUUGCAUUAACAUUGCGCUGGUUCUGGUUGUUUGUAUCCCCUGCACUCUCUUUCCAGAGCUCAGGUUGAGACUGAUGCAGGAAUGUCAUGGAACCCAGAGACUAGUAAGACGUUGACCUGACUCAAAAUAAACAGUAUUAGACGGACAUCUUGGAACUGGCUUUAUGUUAACCUCACUAUCAAUGCUUUACUAGAGAAUUCCUCUUUGGCCAGUGGGUUCCCUUUGCUUUGCAUCUUAAACUUAAGAUGAUUUUAGAAAUGAGUUUUCCGUGCUGGGUGUGUUGUGUAGAUCACUCUUUGUUUCAGAUUGUUUUUCCCGUCUGUCCACUCCGACCUUACCCGCCUCUGAAUGCAAAGCCGUCUGGAAGCUGUCGACGAAUAUGUGUUGCCCCUGAAUGAAGUAUCGACCCUGUGUUCGCUUGAGCUUAAAGCUGAUGUCCUUCGCAGAAGCCCUGCUCUUUUCUCCCAUGUGUUUCCUCUCUUCAUUUGGUUUCUCAGGUCAAAUUUACAAAUUGUCACUAUGGCGUCGGGGAUGGGCUAACCUCUGUGAUGGAACAGAAUCCGGUCACUUACGACAACGGCAAGGUUGUUUACUCCUAACGCAUCACUUGGCGUGGGUUCGAAGUUAAGUAAUUUCAGUUCCCUUAAUCCUCAUUCCAUGGCUUUAAAGUAACUACAUUAGCUGCAUGCACAUCAGCUCUGCAUAACCUUGUUUGUAGAUUAUGUGUGAAAAAUAAGAAGUUUCAGUGCUAAGCUUUUGGGGAGUGUGGGGUUGGGGCGCAACAAUGUCUUUUCAGUUCUUUUCAGCAUAAAUCUCUCGACUUGCAACUUAAGCCUCAGCACCGGGUUGUUGGAUUCCUUGAUUCUGCCAACCUAGUUUAUUUUGCAUCAGAGGAAGAGUAGCCUGGAGCUUUAAGUUUCCACUGUCUGCGGUAAAUUUAUUCUACUGGGUGAGCAUUGUUAAAUGUUGUGGGUCUUUAUGGGAGGGAGGGGGUGGGGAGCCUCAUUGUGCUGUUUUUUUUCCCUCCCUUAGUAGAGCCUUGACAGUUCAUUUGACCCAAGCUUCCAGUCCAGUAUCGUUUGUGGGGGGAAAAAAUGGAUUUGCGUACCACCAGAGAUGCUGGUAUCAUGUUUAAUAAAAGGGUGGAUUUGAAGUUCCCAAGGGUUGUCUCAGAGGGUGCACGGGACCUGAUCAGCAAGCUGCUUCGCCACAGCCCCACCGAUCGUCUCACACUGCAAUGCGUCAUGGAUCACCCAUGGGUGCGCAGCAACUCGCGCCGGGUCUUACCCCCAACUGUCCCACCAAAACCCUGUAAUCCAAAGUUGCCUGCUUGAUUUUUUUUUUUUUGUUUUGUUUUUUAUUUUCUGACGUAUCCUAAUAUUGUACAAAAGUUUCAGACUGUCAGUUUUAAUAAACAUGAAUAAAGUGU